GCUCGAGUGGCGGAAUAGGUAGACGCAAGGGACUUAAAAUCCCUCGGUAGCAAUACCGUGCUGGUUCAAGUCCAGUCUCGAGCACCA
rnacentral:tRNA from 1 species